UCCGGUUUGUCACCGGCAGUCUCAUUAGAGUGCCCUUGCGUAGCAACUAAUGAUAAGGGUUGCGCUCGUUGCGGGACUUAACCCAACAUCUCACGACACGAGCUGACGACAGCCAUGCAGCACCUGUGUCCAGGUUCCCUUUCGGGCACACCCCCAUCUCUGGAGGCUUCCUGGCAUGUCAAGGGUAGGUAAGGUUUUUCGCGUUGCAUCGAAUUAAUCCACAUAAUCCACCGCUUGUGCGGGCCCCCGUCAAUUUCUUUGAGUUUUAGCCUUGCGGCCGUACUCCCCAGGCGGGGUACUUAAUGCGUUAGCUACGGUACCAAGGAAUCGCUUCCCCAACACCCAGUUGACAUCGUUUAGGGCGUGGACUAC
rnacentral:misc_RNA from 1 species